rnacentral:snoRNA from 1 species
CGGCAUGUUUCAGCGUUGUGCUGUGGAUCUCCGCUCCUCAGACGGCUGGAAACAUGCUAGAUUAAAACAAAGGAGUUAACAGGGCCACCAGUCUUCAAGCACAGGCUGAGUCGGUAGUAUAAUACUCCUACAGUU